UACGUAGGGUGCGAGCGUUAAUCGGAAUUACUGGGCGUAAAGGGUGUGCAGGCGGUCUCGUAAGCUGGGUGUGAAAGCCCCGGGCUUAACCUGGGAAUGGCAUUCAGGACUGCGAGGCUUUGAGUGUGGCAGAGGGAGGUGGAAUUCCACGUGUAGCAGUGAAAUGCGUAGAGAUGUGGAGGAACACCGAUGGCGAAGGCAGCCUCCUGGGCCAGCACUGACGCUCAUGCACGAAAGCGUGGGGAGCAAACAGG
rnacentral:rRNA from 1 species